GGCUACGUCGUGUUUUUCAUUUAACAGUUCACGGCGGGUCUAUUUUGAUGUUUUAAAAUGUAGCUUACGCUAUGCAUUACGAUGUGUUUACGUGGUUGCCAAUCCAAAAUAAUAAAGGAGUUGUUACAUGAACAUACACGAUUUUGGUUACAUGUGGAAUAAAGUCUGAGUCUUGAGAGUCUGUCACUGCAAACCUUCAGUUUCCUCCAUACUCCCCUUUGCGAUUCAUUGCUGCAUGGCAUUACGCCUACUUAACUUGCCGUGUUUCGAUCUGAGGUCAGUAGUAUUUAUUAAAGUUAUUAUAGUUUUUAUUAAAAGCUGCUAAUAUUAGUUAACUUUAAAUCGACUCGUUUUGUAUUAGUAUGGGUCUAUAUAUAGGCUAAUAUAUCUAUCUAUAUAAUCUAAAUGAGGAAUAAUCCCUUCAAUGGUGGUUACAGAACACAAUAAGGAACAUAAUAUGCAUUUCUGCCUAGACUAUCUGCACUUACAUGAAGAAAGAACUACAAACAAGUCUGGGGAAACGUUACAGAGUAUUUCAACGCAUAGUGUGCACACAGAAGUGACAUGAGACCAGAGGUGGACAGUAGUGAAAGUCGCGGUACAAAGGUGCUCAAGCGUGGAACAGAUCGUGCAGUGUCGUCGCUAAACAGAAUUGUCUACUACGUCAUUAUGCGCAUGCGUGAACGGAUCGUGCAGGCAUCCCGGAUCGUGUACCGACAGCAUCUCUAAAGCAUACAGAGCAGUCAGUUCACAAAUAGAUCUCACUGUGCGUUGAUGUCGCCGAUCCGUCUGCGAUCAAACAUCUGUCUGGCACGAGUGUUCACCGGUGUUGUUCCGCUCGCGCGACAGCCGGGAAUUCAAAAUGACGUUUCGCAACAACCUCUCGACUGUCCCAUUGGAGAAUUUUCAGUAUUUUCCAGUUGAGCAGCAAAAAAAUGGACACCCAAGGCCAACAGACCAGCCCACCCUGAUGCUCAUCCUUGCACUGCCUGGGACACCUAAGGCCAACAGCCGCAGCUCCUGUUCUCUUUUUGCCAUAAAUACAUAUCUACUUUAGCAAUGCAAAAUUGUGAAAUGUACUAUAGAAAUAAUUUUUACUUUGACUACAUGGAUCCUCACACCACCUGGUAUUAGCAGGAAACCCAUUUGGAGAGAACAGCAUUGUUUUCUCUAGCUUGCAAGGAUUUGCUUUUUGGCAAAUUACAACUUCACCAUUGGUGUAGGCCUUGCUAUGAGAGACUUCUUUUUUGCUGGACUUUUUUACAAUUGUACAUUUGUACAAAGUACCUGAAAUAUUUCUGUAUGUACAGUAUAUUUAAAAUUAAGGCAAAUUAUUAAGGUUUUGUUAAGAUAAAGACUUUUCAUUUAUAACAAUAU